rnacentral:misc_RNA from 1 species
UCCGAGUUGUCCCCGGCAGUCUCUUAUGAGUCCCCGGCAUAACUCGCUGGCAACUAGAGACAGGGGUUGCGCUCGUUGCGCCACUUAAGGCAACACCUCACGGCACGAGCUGACGACAGCCAUGCACCACCUGUGCAGGCUCCGAAGAGCGCCCGCUUUCACGGGUUUCACCCUGCAUGUCAAGCCCAGGUAAGGUUCUUCGCGUUGCAUCGAAUUAAACCACAUGCUCCACCGCUUGUGCGGGCCCCCGUCAAUUCCUUUGAGUUUCAGCCUUGCGGCCGUACCCCCCAGGCGGGGCACUUCAUGCGUUAGCGCCGGUACUCCAAGGGUCGCUCCCCGGAGCACCUAGUGCCCAUCGUUUACGGCGUGGACUAC